UACGUAGGGUGCAAGCGUUGUCCGGAAUUAUUGGGCGUAAAGAGCUCGUAGGCGGUUUGUUGCGUCGGCUGUGAAAUCCCGAGGCUCAACCUCGGGUCUGCAGUCGAUACGAGCAAACUAGAGUGUUGCAGGGGAGACUGGAAUUCCCGGUGUAGUGGUGGAAUGCGUAGAGAUCGGGAGGAACACCAGUGGCGAAAGCGACUUUCUGGGCUGCACCUGACACUCUAGUGCGAAAGCGUGGGGAGCAAACAGG
rnacentral:rRNA from 1 species